rnacentral:rRNA from 1 species
GUCUAUGGCCAUACCACCCUGAACGAGCCUCAUCCCAUCUGAUCUCAGAAGCUAAGCAGGGUCGGGCCUGGUUAGUACUUGGAUGGAAGACCACCUAGAAAGACCAGGUGCUGUAGGCG